rnacentral:lncRNA from 1 species
ACCUAGACCAUGGUUUCAAAUAUGUUAAAUAUAACACCUACUUUGGAAUUAAUAUAUAUCAAAAAUUUUUAUAUGAUGUCUUUUUUCUAUAAUUAUGUAAGAAAAGUAGUCCAUAGUUACUAUGAAUUUUAUAACUCUUUAAAAUAAGUGUUUACUCAGAACAUAAUUUAUGUACAUUUUAAUUAUAGUCCUAUAUACUGUAAUGUACAUUAUUUAGUCUUUGAGAAUUCAUACAUUUGGAAAAUAGAUUCACUAUACUUGAAUUUUCUAUUGCCUCCUACCUGGACAUGAGAGAAAAAUCAAUGUCAUACAUUUGUACAAUGUGUGAAAAUCUACAGGGGAGGAAGAGACUAAUAGAUGUGGCACAGAGGAAUUUUAGGGUAAAUGACUCUGAAUGAUACAGUAAUAGUAGUUACAUGUCAUUAUACACCUGUGAAAAUCCAUAGAAUACAAUACAUGUGAACCCUAGUGUAAACUAUAGACACUGGUUGAUAAUGAUGUGUAAAUAUAGGUUCACCAAUCACAAUAAAUGUACCACUCUGAGGUGGAAUAUUGAUAGUGAGGAAAGCGGUGUAUGCGUGAGGUCGGGUAUGUGUGAGGUAUGAGAACUCUCUGUAUUUUGCAGUCAGUCUUGCUGUGAACUUAACACUACCCUAAAAACAAAAUCCAUUAAAAUGAAACAAAUAUGUAGGGGGAAAACCUAUAAAUGUGUGUACAUAUGUGGAUAUGUAUAUAUUUAUGCAUAAACAGAGACACACAUAACUGUUAAAUUGUAUAUUAAGACUAUAUACACAUAUGUGGUAUAAACAUAUCAACAUGUUUGUAUAAACACACACUCACAAAGAAACUUUAUGACACUGUAUCUGUAUAUAUUAUUAAUCCUCAUGGCAGCUUUUUGAGAUACAUACCUUUGUCACUUUAAUGGCAUAUAAUCCAAGACAGAAUGUUGACAUUCUCUGCCAAAGUUCACUUAGCUCUAAGGGCCACAGCAGGGGUUUGCCCCGAUCUCUAUUGUUAACCAUUAUUUGUAAUCACCUUAUUACCUUCCUCUGCUGAAUUUGUGUCAUUAUACUUGAAAACAUCUUUUUAAAAUUGUCUUAAAGCUUACAAGUUAUAUUUCAAUAUUUGUGUUGAGGACUCUGGCAACCUUGUAUUUAACUGGCUGUUUUUAUUUGAGGAUUGAGUUAAGAGGACAGCUGCUUUUCUGUAGUUAAAGCAAUAAGGGCAUGAAGAGAAUGAGAUAUUAAAUUUAUUUUGGGAUGUAAAUAUUUUUCAGUGUGUGAUGGCUUACGAGAAAUCCCACAUGGGCGCUAGUAAAUGAUCUAUAUUUUUGCAAACUUUCCUCAAGCCAUGAGAUUCUGCAAUGCUGACAUGAUUUGAUUUGGUGAAUGAUGCGGGUGGUGUUGAAAUUGAGCCUUUUCUUACAUUUACCUUAAGGAGUUAACUUGCCCUUUGUUUAAAAUUGAAAUUUUUCCUGAUUCAGUGAGUAACCACAUCCCUUAACAGUGACACUCCUAGGCUGGCUAGAAGAUACACACAUCAUUACUGUGAAUUUAGUUUAACCAUUUUCAUUUUUAAAUUAACAUGAACCUUUAACCACCUAUCACAACCCACUGUCUUUUCCUCAUCUAUGUAAGUGUCUACUGGAAUGGUCAGUUUACACAUUAAUGUAUUUUUUUAGAUUUUAAAAUGAAAAAUUUAGCUGACAUAAUGCUGCAACACAAAAUGCAAGGUCACCUGUCAAGAAAAAGGAAAACCCAGGUAAAUAAUCUCAUGAGCAGAAUUCUUAAUGUUUGGCUUAUUCCACAUUUAUUUAAUACUUAAAACUGCCAGAGUGGGUGCAGGUCCUAAAAAGAACUCGGUAAUAGGGAUUUAGAUAGAAAAUUUUGACAGUUACAUGACUGUAUAAGAAUGUUCCAAUUCAAUGUUUUAGAAAUGUAUAAUUUUUGCAUGAAGGAUGUAUGAGGUUUUUUUCUACAUAAAUUGGAGUAAUUGGCAGGUACCACUCUGUCUUAUUUAGUGCGGGUAGUUUCUCACGAAAGGUAGAUUUGAUUGAAAGAUGGCAGUGAACAAAUUUUUUUUCUCUAUUUCCAUAGAAAUUCCUACCAGUUUUUAACUGAUUAACCUGUUUUUGAUAGUUAAUCAGUUACUUGAACUUUCACAGAGUUAACUAAUGCCUGCUUUAAUGCCUUAAAUCAUAAUAAAAAUUUGUUUCCAUGUGGUCCAUCUUGACACAGACCAAAUCAUCACACUGAGAUUUAUCAUAACAUAAUGAAGCCUAAAACUUGUUUGUCCCUUACAAGAUAUGUAAGUUGCAUGACACAUUCAUACUAUUUGUUUUUUUAAAACUGGGAUACACUGUUAACUAAAUGCUACUGAAUUCUCUGGUCAGAUAGUUUGGUGUUAGUAAGAAGUAAUUACCUGGCCGGGCACGGUGGCUCACGCCUGUAAUCCCAGCACUUUCGGAGGCCAAGGCAGGCGAAUCACUAGGUCAAGAGAUUGAGACCAUCCAGGCCAACAUGGUGAAACCCAGUCUCUACUAAAAACACAACAAUUAGCCUGGCAUGGUGGCGCGUGCCUGUAGUCCCAGCUACGUGGGAGGCUGAGGCAGGAGAAUCGUUUGAACCCAGGAGGCGGAGGUUGCAGUGAACCAAGAUCACGCCACUGCACUCCAGCCUGGUGAGAGAGUGAGACUCCAUCUCAAAAAAAAAAAAAUAAAAAUAAAAAUAAAAGUAAUUACCUCUGUAUACUCAACAACGCUGUCUAUUUUGUCCAGAUUACAAAGGUCUGCUCUCCCAUUGGAGGGCAUUCUCUGCCAUAGUGCAAAGGCCCAAGUACUAGCCUAUUUCAUAUGCCACGUUCUCAAACACGGCUUUCCACAAGAACUUCCUCUAAGCAACUGUUCCAAUAUGACAAGUCCUGCAUAAAGCAUUGGUAAAAAGUAUUUUGUUACUCUAUACAAAUUAUUCUCACUUAGUCUAGUUAAGUGAAAACUUAAUCUUUACCUUUAUUUUUCCAACUUAAAGGAAUAUCAGAAUAUUUUGUCUUCAAGCAAGCUUUAAAUUAUUAAUUUAAUAACUCUAAUCUUCUUGAAUCUAUUCCAAGUUAAUACAGUAUUGGUUAUGCAUAAUUCUGCUAACCGAUCAACAAAUAUUGAUGAAAGAUAGAUGAAAAAGUAUUUUAUGUUUUUUUCUAAUUAAAAUCAAUGGAGAAUUAUACUUAUCAGUAAGAGAAUAAUAAGUCCUAAAACUUUUUUGUCCCUUAAAAGAUAUAUAGGUUGCAUGACACAUUGAUACUAUUUGUUUAAAAACAAAUGGUAUACACUGUUAAUUAAAUGCUAGCAGAAUCAUUUUUCAAAAAUAAACAUAUACUUUGACCCCAUGCUGGAAAAACCUAUACUUGUAGACUUAUUUAAAAUAUAAGGCUAAACUUUGAAGGCAAUAAAUCAGAAAAUCUUUAAAUAUAAAUAUUAGAUACACCUUUAUGAUUUCUGCAGUUUUGGUGUUGGGAGGGGCAGAUAAUCAGCUAUUUGAGCCUUCACAGGGUUACUUAAUGCCUGCUUUAAUAACUCAAAUCAUAAUGAAAAUUUAUGUUUCCAUGUGGUCCAUUUUGACACAGACCAAAUCAUCACACUGAGAUAUAUCAUGGCAUGAAUGUUUUGAGAAUAAAUUUUUAAAAAUACCUAAUUUGUAUUGAGCUAAAUUUCAUUUGUAAUGUUGCUUUCAUAAUUUAUUUGGCAUUUAUUUUCUGACGAUAUUUAUUGAGUAGGAAUACCAUUGUGAGUAGUUGAGAUGUAGCCAGCAUCUUUCCCUUUAUUCUUCUCAAUAACCUUGCUUCCUCUUGUGAACUAAUAUCUUACACACACACACACACAAAACAGGCUUUGCCUUUUUACAUGGGUGAAGCAUGAAACCUGACUUACAUCCAUCAGCCCAGUAUACUCCUUUAUCAAAUGACUUUACUAAAGGUAACUCCCAUUGUCUUGGGAAUUUUAGAAAUUAGUUUUUUUCUCUUUCUCUCCAUCACAGGGUUAAAGAAACAAAGCCUAGAAUAGCUUUCAUUAUUUGCUGCCAUGAAGAACAUAAAGCUAAGGGGUUAGAGCCAAGAAAAAUCCUAGGGAAACUGAUCUAAAUCCUAAUCACAUCUAUUGCUAAGCCAAAUUUAACUCUUGGCAUUGUUAAUCAUGUAACAUAAUAAUUUUUCUGUAAUUUAUUUUUCCAGUUUGAGUCAGAUCUGCACUUAUUUGUAAAGAAGUAUACAAUAUAUAGGGCAUUUCUUACCAGGAGUGGGGUUACAGGUAAUGGGCUAGAAUGGUUUUAAAAAAAGAACUCUCUGUCAUACGAGAAGGUAAAAAUCUUUGUUUUUCAGUUGCAUAAAGUUGGUUUACUUUGGACCUUACAACAUGUGCUACCAAUAUUACAGUAUUCAGUAACUGAAAACAAAAAUAGGUUUUGCAUAUAUGGAGGAAUUGUGAAUUGAAGUUUCCCAAGACUUCACGUAGGAUUUGGAAACUUUCAAGACUGGAACAGCCAGAAAGUAGAAUCCUCAUUGAACACUUGCAACAUUCAGACAAGAUCCAAGGAAAGCUACACUGUUUUAAAUGCAUGGAGUCAUGGGAGAAGUCCAUGUGAAGAAGAAGCAGAGAUUGGAAUGAUGUAUUUACAAGCCAAGGAAUGACAAUUGCCAGCAGCCACCAGAAGCAAGAGGCAAGGAAGUGUUCUUCCCUAGAGCUUUGGGAAAGAGCAUGCCCAGUCGACACCUCGAUUUGGACUUUAGCCUCAAGAGUAUGAGAACAGAUUUAUAUUGU